GUUCUGUGACUGCGUACCUUUUGUAUAAUGGGUCAGCGACUUAUAUUCAGUGGCGAGCUUAACCGUCUAGGGGAGGCGUAGGGAAACCGAGUCUUAAUAGGGCGUUUAGUCGCUGGGUAUAGACCCGAAACCGGGCGAUCUAUCCAUGGGCAGGUUGAAGGUGCCGUAACAGGCACUGGAGGACCGAACCGACUACCGUUGAAAAGUUAGCGGAUGACUUGUGGAUAGGAGUGAAAGGCUAAUCAAGCUCGGAGAUAGCUGGUUCUCCUCGAAAGCUAUUUAGGUAGCGCCUCGUGUAUCACCACUGGGGGUAGAGCACUGUUUCGGCUAGGGGGUCAUCCCGACUUACCAAACCGAUGCAAACUCCGAAUACCAGUGAGUGUCAGCACGGGAGACACACGGCGGGUGCUAACGUCCGUCGUGAAAAGGGAAACAACCCAGACCGUCAGCUAAGGUCCCAAAGUUAUGGUUAAGUGGGAAACGAUGUGGGAAGGCUUAGACAGCUAGGAGGUUGGCUUAGAAGCAGCCAUCCUUUAAAGAAAGCGUAAUAGCUCACUAGUCGAGUCGGCCUGCGCGGAAGAUGUAACGGGGCUCAAACCAUACACCGAAGCUACGGGUUCAUCGUAAGAUGAGCGGUAGAGGAGCGUUCUGUAAGCCUGUGAAGGUCAAUUGAGAAGUUGGCUGGAGGUAUCAGAAGUGCGAAUGCUGACAUGAGUAACGACAAAGGGAGUGAAAAACUCCCUCGCCGGAAGACCAAGGGUUCCUGCGCAACGUUAAUCGACGCAGGGGUGAGUCGACCCCUAAGGCGAGGCCGAAAGGCGUAGUCGAUGGGAAACGGGUUAAUAUUCCCGUACUUCUAGUUACUGCGAUGGAGGGACGGAGAUGCUAGGCCAGCACGGCGUUGGUUGUCCGUGUUUAGGUUGUAGGCUGAGAACUUAGGCAAAUCCGGGUUCUUAAGGCCGAGAGCUGAUGACGAGUGUUCUUUAGAACGCGAAGUGGUUGAUGCCAUGCUUCCAGGAAAAGCUUCUAAGCUUCAGGUAACUAGAAAUCGUACCCCAAACCGACACAGGUGGUCAGGUAGAGAAUACCAAGGCGCUUGAGAGAACUCGGGUGAAGGAACUAGGCAAAAUGGCACCGUAACUUCGGGAGAAGGUGCGCCGAUGAGGGUGAAGCAUUUACUGCGUAAGCCCAUGUCGGUCGAAGAUACCAGGCCGCUGCAACUGUUUAUUAAAAACAUAGCACUCUGCAAACACGAAAGUGGACGUAUAGGGUGUGACGCCUGCCCGGUGCCGGAAGGUUAAUUGAUGGGGUUAGCUUCGGCGAAGCUCUUGAUCGAAGCCCCGGUAAACGGCGGCCGUAACUAUAACGGUCCUAAGGUAGCGAAAUUCCUUGUCGGGUAAGUUCCGACCUGCACGAAUGGCGUAAUGAUGGCGGCGCUGUCUCCACCCGAGACUCAGUGAAAUUGAAAU
rnacentral:rRNA from 1 species